AUGUGAAAGCCCCGGGGGCUCAAACCCUCGGAAAUAGCAUUUGAAACUGGCCAGACUAGAGUACUGUAGAGGGGGGUAGAAAUUUCAGGGUGUAGCGGUGAAAUGCGUAGAGAUCUGAAGGAAUACCGGUGGCGAAGGCGGCCCCCCUGGACAGAUACUGACACUCAGAUGCGAAAGCGUGGGGAGCAAACAGGAUUAGAUACCCUGGUAGUCCACGCCGUAAACGAUGUCUACUUGGAGGUUGUGGCCUUGAGCCGUGGCUUUCGGAGCUAACGCGUUAAGUAGACCGCCUGGGGAGUACGGUCGCAAGAUUAAAACUCAAAUGAAUUGACGGGGGCCCGCACAAGCGGUGGAGCAUGUGGUUUAAUUCGAUGCAACGCGAAGAACCUUACCUACUCUUGACAUCCAGAGAACUUUCCAGAGAUGGAUUGGUGCCUUCGGGAACUCUGAGACAGGUGCUGCAUGGCUGUCGUCAGCUCGUGUUGUGAAAUGUUGGGUUAAGUCCCGCAACGAGCGCAACCCUUAUCCUUGUUUGCCAGCGAGUAAUGUCGGGAACUCCAGGGAGACUGCCGGUGAUAAACCGGAGGAAGGUGGGGACGACGUCAAGUCAUCAUGGCCCUUACGAGUAGGGCUACACACGUGCUACAAUGGCGCAUACAGAGGGCAGCAAGCUAGCGAUAGUGAGCGAAUCCCAAAAAGUGCGUCGUAGUCCGGAUUGGAGUCUGCAACUCGACUCCAUGAAGUCGGAAUCGCUAGUAAUCGUGGAUCAGAAUGCCACGGUGAAUACGUUCCCGGGCCUUGUACACACCGCCCGUCACACCAUGGGAGUGGUGUUGCAAAAGAAGUAGGUAUGUAU
rnacentral:rRNA from 1 species